AACUGCUGACGCCAUCCCAGGCAGCACAGCUGACUCUGACUUCCGGAGCACUGAAUGACUCCACAAAAAUGGAGGCCAUCUUUGAUCGCCUAGAGGAGGGAGAUGCUCUUCAAAAUGUUGACCAGUUUCUGACAGCACUGAGCGUGGCUCCCGAGGUAAUUCACGCCAUCCACUCAAGACGACAAAGAUUCCCAGCGCACCGUGCUGGUGCCCUUCAUAGGGAAUAUGAACGCUCAUGUCUCUCCUGUCUCCACAGAUUCCAGAUAUUGCCCCUCCCGUGAGAGACUUUGCCAUGAACCGCACCUUCAACAUCAUCAGCGUUCAUUUCCUGCAGUUUGAGGUAUCGGCCUGGAUCGCCUGGUUCCACGUGAAACUAAUUCCUGUCCUCCCCAGUUUCACUACAGAGAUGCUCACUCAAACCACCGCACAGACAAACUGCACCAACUACCAAGUCAUGUAAGCACUGUGUAAUCUCUCUGAUGGCUCUUCAGUGCAAGACCUGAAUGAUGCAAGUUAUCGUGGCAGUAGAAGAACAUCAUGACGGCUGGCAAACUUAAGAAAAACUUUAAUAUCUGAAAAAUUCUUCUCUCGUAGUGUGAAAGGAAUGGGCAAGGUCUCCAAGAAAAUGCCGCUCACCAGAAGAAAGGGAAUCGCCAACGUCCUUGUGAAACAUCUGAAGCAGUUCUUGGCCACGUUCAACAAAAGAGGUAACUGGCCCUUGCACACACCAAGCUAGCUUAUAUUAACCUGGAUUCUGACCCAAGAUUUCCUGAGCCUUGCGGAAGCUUCCCAUUUCCAAAUCUUUUAUAAAUUCCCGAGAUGUUGGCGCUUACCUCAGGCUUUGACCCACGUUUUUGUUUAUUUUCUAGCCUGCAGACUGGACAUCCAGAAUGAUGCCGAAUGGCUGGAGGUCAACCUGGGUCCAUUCUCCAAAGAAGUAGACUACUCUGCCUUUAAAGAACUGAACAUUACAGGACUGGCAACUUUGGACUCGCUCUCACCGGACCAGAAAGCUGAGUUGGUUCUGGACCCCAGUAGUGGUGCUCUUGAGAAUGUGACUGUCUUGACAGAAGUCUUUGGCAGCAUAGUGGGAUCUCCAGACGAUGGGGAACUCGACCGUUUCUGGGAGGCUUGUGCCGCUGUCACGGCGCAGGUGAGUGGGUCGCAUGGAAGGUCAAACUUCAUCACUUGCCAAAUACCGUCUGGAACGACAGUGGUAAGCAGCGUAGGCCUGUGUCUGGCCUCAUCCCUGACUGAUUUGCCUCUUUUGUUUUUAGCAAACAUCACCUACAUUACCAACGCAGCUGUGAGAGACGUCAUGCUCAACCUGACACUGACGGCCCUGGCUCCCAGAUUCCCCACCUUCCAAACGAGCGACUUUACCCUGUGGUUCCAGGUCAAUCUGGUUGUUCUGCUAGCCAGCGUCCGUCCUGCGAGUCUGAGCGUCAUCCCCCUGAACAUCAGCUGUGACUCUUUCAAAGCCAUGUGAGACACUCUUCCCUCUCUUUCACAUCCUUCAGAGGUCCUUACUGCAGGGUUAAGUUUUAAAGAGGUAAGUGCAAAAACAUCCAUUCUCGAGCUGAUGCAUGUCAAUUUUUCCUUCUCUUAGAAUCGUGGCUUUUGACGAGUCUUUGAAGACACUUCCAGGGAGCGUUUCAGCAGACCUCCAAUCUAGCCGAGAUUAUCUGGCACAGAGUUUCCCACAAGGUAUAGGAUGCCCCGACUAGUCACGCGGUGCUUAGCAGUAGAGUAUCGGAUUCCUUCUUGGUACGACUGUGGUCUCCUCACUUCUAACCUUUGCUCUGUUUGUCUUCUCACACAGGCUGUAGACCACCGUAUCCAGUCGGUGUGGUAAGUAUAUUCUAAAGUGGAAACACACUGCACAACAUGCCCUCACACUGAAUGAAUCUAUUUUCAAGUACCCUGUGAUGUGCAAUGAUUCAGUUGAAUUUACGUUUUUCUGUCCUCUAGUGCUCAGAGACAGUUGUCGAUGGUAAGUCCCUGUCCAGCGUGUCUUGUAUUAGUCUGUCUUAGAAAACAUGCUUUCAUCUCAAUAGAUGUUUGGUGCCAAAAAUCUUUGUUAAUGUGAAUUUUUUUCUUCUACAGUGGAGAGUCUUUGCGCCAGCGCCAACACGUGAGUGAAUAUUUGGAGGCAUAGUCAGGUCUUUCGUUAGUCUGUGUCAGCAGUGCCAAAAAUGUCUUUUUUCUUUUAUUUGUGCCACACAGCAUCCCGCUGCAGGAUCACCUGGCCUCUGCAAACUCCUCUGGGACGCUUUGCAAUUUCAGCCUGGGAGACCUUGCGUGCUCCUCGGUAAGGAUUACCUGGAGUUUACUGGCAAAUGCCUUCGGCAGUG
rnacentral:lncRNA from 1 species